rnacentral:rRNA from 1 species
AUUGAACGCUGGCGGCAUGCCUUACACAUGCAAGUCGAACGGCAGCACGGGAGCAAUCCUGGUGGCGAGUGGCGAACGGGUGAGUAAAGUAUCGGAACGUACCUUUCAGUGGGGGAUAACGUAGCGAAAGUUACGCUAAUACCGCAUAUUCUGUGAGCAGGAAAGCAGGGGAUCGCAAGACCUUGCGCUGAUUGAGCGGCCGAUAUCAGAUUAGCUAGUUGGUGAGGUAAAGGCUCACCAAGGCGACGAUCUGUAGCGGGUCUGAGAGGAUGAUACGCCACACUGGAACUGGGACACGUUCCAGACUCCUACGGGAGGCAGCAGUGGGGAAUUUUGGACAAUGGGCGCAAGCCUGAUCCAGCCAUGCCGCGUGAGUGAAGAAGGCCUUCGGGUUGUAAAGCUCUGUCGGCCGGGAAGAAAUCGUGUGGGUUAAUACCCUGCAUGGAUGACGGUACCGGAAUAAGAAGCACCGGCUAACUACGUGCCAGCCGCCGCCGUAA